UUAUCAGAGAGCACCAAGCCCAAAAAUCAGGGCCAGCAAUCAAAAAGUAACCCAGACUGACCACCUUUACUUGUAGAAGACCCCAGCUGUGCCCCAACAACAUUCCAGACGCCCAUGGAAACCAUCAAACCUCUUAAAUCUGCUCAUAGUCAUAGCCUCCGUCAUCACUCAGGCCCAGAGACAAAACCCAAACAAAUGCGUAACUCUCUCUGUUUUUAGACCCAUGAGCGAACAUUUAAGGAGUCGCGCAUAUCUUGAAAAACAAGAUAUGCAACUCCAGGUCGAAGACAACAAGCACGCCUGACGGAAAGCCAGAAAUGACAACAAAAAUGGUUUCGGAGACCCACAAGAAUCGAGAAUCAGAUACUCUGACCCACCCCAUCAACGGAUUGGGAAGACCCUAGG
rnacentral:lncRNA from 1 species